UUUGGCCCGCGGGCCGGACUUUGCCGACAGCUGCUCUAGAAGGUUAACAUCGGCUCUCCACCUCCUAUUCCUUUUCAAUACGUCCCCGUCAUACAGAACGGUAACAUGUCUCUCAUUUAUCCAAGCUUGGGUCUAUGGGGAAACCCAACCCUUUGGACGGAUGGGUUGCAUGGCUAAAUUGAGAGGG
rfam:Anopheles merus strain MAF unplaced genomic scaffold supercont2.87, whole genome shotgun sequence.